CCUACGGGAGGCAGCAGUGAGGAAUAUUGGUCAAUGGGCGGGAGCCUGAACCAGCCAAGCCGCGUGAGGGAAGAAGGUACAGCGUAUCGUAAACCUCUUUUGUCAGGGAACAAAGGCGGGGACGAGUCGGCGGAUGAGGGUACCUGAAGAAAAAGCAUCGGCUAACUCCGUGCCAGCAGCCGCGGUAAUACGGAGGAUGCGAGCGUUAUCCGGAUUUAUUGGGUUUUAAGGGUGCGCAGGCGGCCUGUUAAGUCAGCGGUAAAAACUCGGGGCUCAACCCCGGCGAGCCGUUGAAACUGGGGUGCUUGAGUGGGAGAGAAGUACGCGGAAUGCGCGGUGUAGCGGUGAAAUGCUUAGAUAUCGCGCAGAACCCCGAUUGCGAAGGCAGCGUACCGGCGCCACACUGACGCUGAGGCACGAAAGCGUGGGUAUCGAACAGGAUUAGAUACCCCUGUAGUC
rnacentral:rRNA from 1 species